rnacentral:lncRNA from 1 species
GCAAGGUGGAACUGCUUCUUAAAAAGAACGUGGUCAAUUACAAAGAAAUGUUUGUAGAGAGAAAAACAACUCCUAAUAUGGAAACUUAGAAUGAGCUUUCCUGUGUGAAUUUGCUGUAUAAAACUCAUUGCAUUUAUCAUCUCGCUGGAGAGGUUACUCACAGAUCUGUAUGAGAGGCUGCUCUCAGAUCUGUAUGAUUAUAUCCUCCCCAUGCGCAUGGAUAAAGGGACUCUGCUUGACCACACCUAACCUGAGUGAAGACUUUUCUUCGACACAUGCCAACCCAGAAGCCCUUUUUUCUGACUAGGGGCCAGAAGUUUAGAGAGCACUGCAGUGCAGAAUUCCUCUAGGCCGAAGCAUCGUGCUGAUUGGUUGUGAUGUCAUCAGGGGUGGGUGCAGGUCUUCCCCACCCAGCUGAUCCCAUGUGGGUGGGUUAUCCCAGCCCUGCCAGUGGCACCCCAGCUGGACAGGUGACUCCAAGGCUUCUGGGUUUAGAUGUCCGUCUCUCGAGAUUGUAGACAGGGAGGUGCUGGUGUGGACACUGGGGGGUGUCAGAACUGAUUGAAUUUCUGACAUCCUGGUUUGUGUCUUGAGUCUUCACCACAUCCUGCUUGUCGGACUCAUUUUACCAGCAUUCCUUAGCAGAUGAGUCAUGGGAGCUGAACUGCACCAGGUCGUUUUCCGUUCAAGGCAACAGAAUUUAGAUUCCUCUAAUCUCUGAACGCUGGGAUUCUACCACAUGAAGACCUUGCUGCUACAACAGGAACAUACAGCCUCCCCCGUAAUACCGGACCACGUCUUUUUUGCAUCCCUUUGAUAAUUUGAACAACUCGUGUCUUGGUUUUAUUUUCCAGGAGGCGUGACGCCAAGGGGCAGAUCAAGCGCGAGCCGUCGCUGGGCAGCUCCUCUCCGGUCUCGGGCAGCAGCGGACGAUGCAGGCCUCCGACGUGUGGGUCCCACAGAGGCCACAGCCCGCGCUCUUCCAGGCGCCCCGCGGCUCCCCCUCCGCCUCGGCGUUGAGCCACCAUGCCCUUGCUGCCCCUGCGGGCGCUGGGUCCGCCGGACCCGCCAGCGCCCCCGGCUCUCCGCAGGACGCUGCCUUGGCGGUCCUGCAGCAGUUUGUGACGGAGAGGAUGUACGCCGAGGGCUCUGCUCCAGGGGCACACGGGCCACAGGCGCCCUACAAAAUAGUGCACCAAAACCCCGCGGCCCCCUCCAGAAGACAGCCUGACCAGUUCGGUGCUCCCGCCCAGUCCGCAAGACCCCAUCGCGCUGUCCACUUUGCCAACGGGCAGUUUCACAACACGGCAUUUGCGCCCAACAGGGUGGUGUUCAGUAGGAAUCCGGUUGCGCCUGGAGGAAACCACGAACCGUCCAAGAGCAGCGGCCUUGUGGCGCAACAGGAACACGGCUGGAACCGUGUCUCCUCCUCCACCGGCCGGCCGAACUACGGCAGACACCCCUCGCUUGCUCUUCCAUUCCAGUUGCACAAUCAGGGUGCUCCCGGUGGGCACGGCAGGUCGGGAUGGAGUGGGCAGCAGCAGUACCACGUGCUUCAGCAGCCUGGACCCCGCACAGAAGCCUUCAGCAGGGCUGGUGCUCAGGGUUUAGCAGGGGCCUCCAGCAGUGAUGCUCAAGCAUGGAGCCCUUCUCCGUCCGCGCCACAGGGCCAGCCGAGGCAGUGGAGUUACUAUUCAUACCCCUUUUCCUCUCUGGGGGACGGCAGCGCAGCUGGUAUCGCUCUUCAGGCAGGGCAGCAGAGGUACCCCGCCAGCCAGGCCUGUUUGCAAGGCAAAGCGAGUGACCGUCCCCAGAAUAUUCCAAACCGACCAGCGGAAAACUCCGAUACAGUUUCUCCUCUUGGGGACGUGCGGAACAGUGGUUUUCCAAGCAAUCAGCCCUUUGGGGCUGUAAAUCCCACUGUAAAUGUUUCCCAGAAUGCCCGUGAAGCUGCAGAAAGCAUCACUGUAAAUGGACGUUUUCUCCCGGCUUUGACGUCCAGCCAGUUCGGGCGCGCUCCUUGCCAUGCUGGCCAGCAGACCCCCACCAGACCGGGCUUCUUGGGUGGAGAUGGGGGCAUGGGCGCUCUAGAGGCAGCGGCCUCCCGAGGUGAUAGCACGGUCUCGGGGGCCUCCGGAAGCCUGGACAGCGGCCGGGGCCACGGUGCUUUGUCCGAGAACAUCCGCCACGACGCCGGGAAACCCCCUGAAACAAACUCCAAUUCCACAUGGCCGUCGUCUGGAUUAAACAGGGAGGCACAGCCACAGCUCCCCCACUUCCCUCAGGUCAAAACCGGCACUAACACACCAACCUUCACGCCCUCCGCCUCCGUGUCCAACACCCCGACAUGCAACUCGCUCCCCCCGGCAGGGCUGCCGCCCCCUCCUUACCCGAGAGGGCUGGAGCAGUCCUAUUUAGUGACCGUGAAGAAGGAUACCCGAGGCGAGGGGUUUACGGCUCACAAUGUGAUUUUGAUUGACAAGCCGUCUUCCGCCGGCGGCACUCGGCAGCUGCCCGGGCGGAGACGAGGCUCGUCCGGUCGGGGCUCCUCGUCGGACUCGCUCCUACGAGGGAGAGGCCCCGAAGCUCCGGGACCGAUGUCCGCCGCACACGUUUCAGACCAGCCCGCCGCUCUGCCGUUGCCCCCUGCAGUCCAGCAGAGAGGCUUGUCUCAAGGGGCAGGAAGGAGCUCCGUUUUUCAGCAGCACAGACACACCCAGGAAAACAGCUUUCUGAGGGACCAUACAGUUAGUGGGCAGCUAGUGGGUAGUAGCAUGGCAUCCACAGCUCUGCCCACUGGUCCUGUUCCACAGAAGAUGAGAGCGUCGGAUGUUAAGUUAAGGAACGAGCUCAGAAAGGGUGUAGCAGAGGUGCUGUGCGCAUUUCUGUCAAAAUGUAAAACAAGCCAGACAGACAUGUCUCCUACCAACAUGCCAGCACAGACCCAAACUGCCAAUUUAUCCCCGAGCCAAAAUGAGUCUCCGAAGGAUGUUGGCACACCUGCCAGAGGGGAAUAUGCUACGCCUGGGAAAGAGGAGUAUAGUCAUAGCCUAAUCGGGAAAUUGCUUUGUUCUUCCUUAUCGCGGGCAAGCGAACCACAGAUUGCCAUUGUGCCUCCGAUAACGCAGAAAUAUGUGGCAUCGCCGGAAAAAUUGAGAGCCUUCCUGAACGCGGAUCACGAUCUCCCAUUUAAAAUUCUGAACGUGUGGUCCCAGCUAGAAGAUCAUGCCAGUUGUUCUGAGCUGCCCAUUAAGGAGGACUUUGUUAGUUCCCUUGCAAGUGCACAUUCUGAUGGAAAAGUUGCGCAGGAGAUCUCCUCUAAAAGUCCCCCAGCAAAAGGUGUUGAAGCUCCAGCGACGGCAGAGGUCGCGCAGACAUCUGCAGAAUCUCCCAGCCUGAGAGCUCCUCCCGGAUCAUGGAGGGAUCAGCCAUUCAAGAUCACUCCAGCACACUGCACAGAAAGUCAAGCAUCACCUGGUGGUCACUCCGUGGGAAGCCUUGUUGGGCUCAGUUCUGGUCCACAUAGCUGUGAAAAGCAGCAGAGUGGGAAGAAUGAAGACAGCCUAGGUCCAGAUUCAAAUCUGAGCACAUGCACUUUGGCCUCUGUGCCUGUGAAAGAGUGGACACUUGAGAGAAUACAACAGCUGGUGAAUUUGUUUCAUGAUUGUGUAGCUCGUGAUCCAGGGUGUUAUGGGGUGGAGGAAGUAGCAAACCAGCGCUGGGCUGUUAGAAAUGAUGAGCCUUUAGAUCCACGUGAAUCUGAUCAUGAAAUUGAGUCAAUUGUGAACUUCUGGAGCUCUGGCAUCACUCUGGACCAACAGUCUGUAAUAUUUUCUGAAGUAAAGCCUGAUUGUUUUGAAAAAAUAGCCCCACAUUGCAUAACUGUUGGACCCAGUGCUGUUCCGUGUGUUGUAGAGGAGUACAAGUCCACAUGGUUAAAUCUCAACGAGAAGCUUGAUGAUAUAGAUAAAGAGUGUGGCUUUCCUCUCUGCCUGCUGCUCAAAUACCAGAUGACUGAAACAGAAAGCAGUACAUCACACGUCCAAGAGAUGCAGAACUUGGAAGCUGCUUCACUCACUACCUGUGAACAGACAGAGGAUUUGGCGCCUCCUGCAGAAACUGAGAGUGCUAACAUUGAGGAUGCCCUGUGUAAUACCCAGGUCACAGUUGUACAACCUGGCAAUGAGAUCUUCAGUGUGAUUCUGAAUGAAUCUGGUAAAGAGGAGCUGAAAGGCAGUCCACCUGUGGAAACUCCAGUCCAGCGAGAAGUGAUCCCUGAGAACUACUGCUGUCUCCUUCGCUUGCUGGAAGAUUAUACCGGUUCUCCCCUGAGCCCGAGCUGCAACUGUCAGUUCCGCUCCAAGUCGGAGAAGGAGCAUUUAACAGGCCGGACCCCUUCCACUGGAAAUGGAGGCGGACUUGUCAAAGUGUGUGCUGAGAGCUCUCCAGAGCAGUUACCAGGGGCAGGGGACCUCCCUCGAGUAACUGAGCCACAAUUGCAAACUCCAGUGGCAAGCAGGGAUCUUGCACAAGUAACUGAAGUGCAAAAGGGAGAAAUGGAUUUAGGAGCUGAGCACACAACCAUUGCUGCUGUGAAGCACAAAGAGCUGAAUGGCAAAAUAUUAAGAUCGCGGUUCAAGUCUUCUCAAAAAGCUGCUCCUGAAAGGCAAGGUGAAUCUGAAGUUCCCCAUAAACGCCAAAGAGGGGAAGAUCUGACGUCUGGUAAAGGGCGGAGGCGGGACUGUGUGGUGAAGCUCCUCCAGCUCCCAGCCCCACUCAAGAGGAGCCAAAGUCACAAAGGGGAGAAUCUGGACAGGGUCGGCGGUGGAGAAUCUGGACAGGGUAGAAAGGGAGAGGUUGACCGCGAGAUUCUGAUUCCCUCUGUAGCCAAGAAAUCGCCUCCGAGUCGCAGAAGAACUGAAGGGCAAAACGCUCAAGUUGUCGUAAGCGUAGCAUCGGGCACCAGCUCUGCUGGAGGUCCUGGAAAUAAGCACGAUAAAGGACAUAAAUCAGAAGGCAGGAAGCGUGAGAGAGAAGAUGGCUUUGAUUGCCCACCAUCCAGAUUGGCUAAAUUGCAUCUUGCGGUCCACUCCUCAGCUGAUGCAAAACAAACACCAAAGGAAGAGAAAGAACCUUUAUCAAAGAAAAAGAGCUCGUCGGAAACGGGACCAGCCGGAUCAGAGAAGAGAGGGGAGAGGACAGUGAGCCUGGUGCUGUUUGGGUCCGGCUCUAAUUCAAGUCUAGAAGUCAGAAGUUCUGAUGGCAAUCUUGCUCUUAGACGGAAGAUAAACCCUCCUCCAGUGAUUGAAUUCACCAUUCGUAGCAAAAAGGACUGUGCAGAGAAGGCAGCACUUCCAAAGGAGCAUGUCCUGUUGAACAAGAACAGACUUUCUGAAGUAGGGCUUGAAGCGAAAGAAGAGAAGAAAAGCCAGACAAAAUGCUCAGGAAGGCCACAGCAGUCCAAAACCAAGCAAAGUCUUGGAAACAAGGGACCAGACAACCACAUGACAACAGAGCACCCAUCGGAAUACUCCCAAGGCUCAUUGCACCGGAGGGUUGUGGAUUUUAAGGGCACUGACAGAUAUUACAAACCGAUGGACCAACACAGACGAAAGAAGGGCUCACAGUUAAAAACAGAGAAUCCUAAGUCCUGUUCAAAGAGUGUUCUUAGCCUGAACGAGCAAAGCGAUUCAGACAUCAAGACUUGUGGAGAUGUGAAGAAAUCGGUCUUGAGGAGAAGAGCCUCACAGCACGAGCAGAAGCAAAUUGCUUUUCGCAAACUGCAGCACAAGGAGCGCACCAAGAGUCAGGGUACAGUGGCGCCCAUCUGCUUGGUCCGGAAGAGGAAGCGUCCCUCUAUCAUGCAAGAGGCUUUCACAAAAAGGGUGUCCGCUUCUGGGAGCCCCACUACGGCGGAGAAAGACAAGCUUCUGCAGUUCAAGCUGUGGCCAGACACCGGGGAUCUGUUUGGCUUUAAAGAUGAGGGCAGCUUGAAAAAGGAAAGCAGGCAACACCCCAAUUCAGUAAAGAGAGCUGGAAGUCUGAGGGAAACAGGAAUGCAGGCUGGAUCUUCAAAGCCCAAGCAAUGGAAGAUAAAAGGUUACUGGUCCCAGAGCUCAGAAGGCAGAUCACCAGAGAAAGAGCCGACGUCUCCGGGGGCGGCCUCCCCACUUCUCACGCCCUCCUCCAAGACCACUGCUGAUGCCACCUUUCAGGAGUACAAGAAGAGAUUCCUGGAGAAGGAGCUGAAGGUCGACAAGAAGUAGCUCGGCGUGCUUGCGAAGCCUGCGUUUCGGGGGCCUGAUGUAUGCAGCUGGAACGUGUUUCCAAGGGACUCCUGCUACGCGUUUCCUGGGUGGGAUUUUCUUCAGUGGAGCGUGUUUUGUUAAGAACUGGUCACAUGCUCCCCUGCGACGCCCACACACCACAUGAUCCCGCGCGUCUGAGCUGCCGGCGAGACCCCAGAGCUCUCGCCAAAGAGUGUCUGCAGAAUUCCUGCAGGGAAAUGAGACGGCACUGACAUUCCACUCAUUGCUUUCAUCGGUAACCUCACUGCCUGCACACUGGAGUGGUGCUUGUGAGUGUCUCUCUCUGUUCCCAGGCGUUAGUAUAGCUGGAGACGCUCCUCACGGGAAUAGCUUCCUGGUAGCUGUGCUUUCCCUCUUCCUCCCACUUUUCCAACACGGCCGCUGGCCGGAACAGGAAGACUGAUAUAAACUCGUCUGGCAUUAAAUUGCUUCUGCCAAGCGCGUCGCAGCAUCCUGUGCCACAGGCCUUCACGGGCAGUUGGUCAAGCUUGUCCGUGGGCUUCCGAUGCUGGGGGAGAUGAUGGGAAAUGGGAUUCAGACACACAAGGGAUCCUGGAGGAGGAUUACUGUGAUGAGAGGCCUGCGAGGGAACAGGAUGUGCAACACGCCUUCAGAUUUUCAAACGGUUGUCUUUCAGAAUGUGAAAUACCUGCGCUGCUGUACAGAUAUAAGUACAGGAAUGCACUGAACUUGCACUUCAGCCCUUCGGAAGCCUGUGGUUUAAGAGAGCUUGUCUGAAUUUGAGGAUGGAGCUUCAUUGUCAGCAAGCACACUAAAAACUUACCAGACAUAAACCCUGUCUAACUUUUGUCCAAAUGUCAAUCCAUAUUAUUCUUAAAUCUGUUUCCUGUGUGUGUAUAAAAACACAUGGAAAAAUGCCCUUAAGCUGCUCUGUUACCAGCUCCAGAAAUGCAGGACUUGGUUUUCUUCAGCAGAGGGUCAUGCAGUCCUAUGUGACCCUGGCGACGGGAGAGGGGAACGACCUGCAGACCCACUCCUUAUCUCAGGUUAUUCUCGGACUAAGUACAUACGUUCUGAAGUUCACCAGCACAGAGGGCAACCUUCAAACAAAGCAUCUGAAAACAGUCCUUUGCUUUUUAGGAAAUGCAGAAUGUCUCUCUUUGUACUUGAAGUAUUUACAAGAGUAUUUGUUUACAAGCUUGUGUGGAAACUGGUGCCAGUGCCCAGGUCAGCACGGGCUUUGACCACUGUCAGACCUUGUGAGUCUGCUCUCAUCGUGGGAUUCUUUUUAUUUUUCACGCUAAAACUAUUCAGGAACAUGUUUGUUAAAUGCUGAUUGUAUAUACAUAUUGUGAACGGUGGUGUUCUGCAACUAUUUUUGUAUAAAACAACUUGCCAGAAAUAAAUUUUUAUAUUUCACUUCAUGAGAGCAGAUGACUUAUGUGAGAUUUAUGUGUACUUCAAAAAAAGGUCGUGCUACAAAACAGUCUGUGUCUCUGAUGUCUGACUGCAGCAAUAACGCCUUGCAGUCUGAUAAUCCAGACUGGUCCUGAUCCUGACUGGUCCUGACUGGACGAGAGACCUCUAAGGAAAAAAUCGUUGCUGAAGAAAUAGAUCCUGGUGCUGUUCUUCCCUGUGGACCUAUGGGUGAUUUUUGACGCACAUAUUAUGAAGCAUGAAAA